GGUCAUAUUAUGGAGCUUAUCCAGAUGUAGUCAGAGAGAAUCAGAUAUGUUCAGAUGACAUACAGCAGCUCUGAAUUUCUCCAGAUGAUAAUUCACUCUACAGAGUCAAUUUCUCAGUAGACUAGCAGAAGAAAAUUGUCUAAAAAGGGACAAUCAUAUCUUCUUAGCCUCCUUCGUCAGUCUCAGCAUUACUUAGUGCCACAGGAUGGACAAGCAAAGGGACAAAGCCAACGAGGAGCAGCACAGGUCAUGCUGCAGAAGAUGCACGUGAAGAAAGAGUCCAAGUAAAGGCACCUUUGAUUCUGAAGAAGAGAACAACAGAAGAGGUUUAAAAAGGAUGCCAGCUCAGUGUGUGCAGUGGUAAGCAGCAGGCACAGGCGUUAGGUUGUCUUACCCCAUAUCAGAACCUCACAAUACCCACUUGAUGGUCAGUCUCAUAGCUGGGAAUAUAUGCAUGUCAGGUAUGGGUGCCAGAGUGGCUCAACCAGCUGAUUCUAACAAAAAGCAACCCACCCACCCAGAGUACACUGUAGGAAAACUGCAUGGCAGGCUGUUACGAGCUAAAUGCUUCUGAGUUGUAUCGUUUUGCACUUCAACAGCACUCUUCUUGCAAGGAUCUCAACAUAUUUUACAAAGGAGAGCAAGUAUGAUUAUCCCUCUUUCACCACCGAGGAACGAAGAUGUUAAGUGACAUGCCCAACAUCAGAUUCAAUCUCCUUGAUUUAGUUCCUAGUCCAGGAUAACAUGACCAGACUGAGAUGGGGAAAGGCAGCCAUACAGAUACCCUCUACUGCACUGAGGAACACAGGGCCUCUACUCUCUCUCUUUCCCUUUUAGAUAAGUACUUUCAAACCAAACGUGCAUGAGU